CAGAGGUUAUGAAACUUUGCGGUUAACUGGAAGUAGCCUACCCUACAACGCCCAGAGUAGACAGAACAACAAGACAACUUACAUGCGCGUCCAUCACAAUUACAAGCUCAUGACCAAUUAUGCAAAUUGAGUGGUGACGUAAUUUAGCGACUUCUAGUGACUUUUAGGACAGCCAAUAGCUACUUUACUUACUGAGGAGUUGGCAACACUGAGGAAGUAUCCUCCUCUACAACGCCCAGAACAUGAAACAGACCAAAGAAAGUAGGAGGAAGAAAGCACCAUUGUAGACGGCACAACAAGACAACUUACAUGCGGGGGAGGAGACUGACUGUCUGAUAUCAUGGAUCAGACUCCUCAGUCCCUCGUUCCAGCCCAGGACUCUGGUCCGCUGUCCUCCAUGACGGCUCAACCUGCCCAUCCACAGUCCUACAUUACAGCUCAGCCUGCCCCACCACAGUCCUCCAUUACGGCUCAGCCUGCCCCACCACAGUCCUCCAUUACAGCUCAGGGUGGUUCUGUUGUUGUUGCACCCCAACUUGUUGGCUGCAAUGUCGGAGGUUCAUUUUAUCAAAACAUCAGUGUUACUAUGCCUUCACAUGGUGCUGAUGAAGAUCUGCAAAAAGUCAAGGGCAAACACAAGUCCAACAUGAAGAAGAAGUUUGGGAGCAUCUUUGAGGG